rnacentral:misc_RNA from 1 species
ACAAGACUGUAAAGAAGGCAGCAUCGCAAAAGAAUGCGUGACCACCUGACUGAAGACAUGCUGUAUCUCAGCCAGAAGUUGAGAUGUGCGGUGCUUAAGAUUACACUUCAAAGCAACCCAGCUAUUUAUGACCUCCUAGUUCGAAAUUCCUCCAUCGCGCGGGGCCCUAGCCGUGGCUGUAUGAGGAAAUUUGCAAA